rnacentral:rRNA from 1 species
GAUGAACGCUGACAGAAUGCUUAACACAUGCAAGUCGAUGGGGAAGUGGUGCUUGCACCAUGGUAACCAUGGCGGACGGGUGAGUAACGCGUAAGGAACUUGCCUGCGGGACCGGGAUAACAGCAGGAAACUGCUGACAAUACCGGAUAAGGUCAUUAAGCCGCAUAGCUUAGUGAUGAAAGGAGACGCCUGCGGAGAGCCUUGCGUCCUAUUAGCUAGUUGGAGGGGUAACGGCCCACCAAGGCGAAGAUAGGUAGCCGGCCUGAGAGGGUGGACGGCCACAAGGGGACUGAGAUACGGCCCUUACUCCUACGGGAGGCAGCAGUGGGGAAUAUUGGACAAUGGGGGCAACCCUGAUCCAGCAAUUCUGUGUGCACGAAGACGGUUUUCGGAUUGUAAAGUGCUUUCAGCAGGGAAGAAGGAAGUGACGGUACCUGCAGAAGAAGCGACGGCUAAAUACGUGCCAGCAGCCGCGGUAAUACGUAUGUCGCGAGCGUUAUCCGGAAUUAUUGGGCAUAAAGGGCAUCUAGGCGGCCUUUCAAGUCAGGGGUGAAAACCUGCGGCUCAACCGCAGGCCUGCCUUUGAAACUGAUAGGCUGGAGUACCGGAGAGGUGGACGGAACUGCACGAGUAGAGGUGAAAUUCGUAGAUAUGUGCAGGAGUGCCGAUGAUGAAGAUAGUUCACUGGACGGUAACUGACGCUGAAGUGCGAAAGCCGGGGGAGCGAACAGG